CAAGGUUGAUGACCUCCGCGGAUCCCCGAUGAGCGUCGGAAACCUCGAGGAGCUCAUCGAUGAGAAUCACGCCAUCGUCUCCUCUUCGGUCGGGCCGGAGUACUAUGUUAGCAUCCUGUCGUUUGUCGAUAAGGACCAGCUCGAACCUGGAUGCUCCAUCCUGAUGCACAAUAAGGUGCUUUCGGUGGUAGGGUUGCUUCAAGACGAGGUUGAUCCAAUGGUCAGUGUCAUGAAGGUGGAGAAGGCUCCGCUGGAGUCUUAUGCUGAUAUUGGUGGUUUAGAUGCACAAAUCCAGGAAAUUAAAGAGGCUGUUGAGCUUCCUUUGACGCAUCCUGAGCUCUAUGAGGACAUUGGGAUUAAGCCUCCAAAGGGUG
rnacentral:misc_RNA from 1 species